CCUUCGGCUCCUCCUCCCCAAAGUGGGGAACAGUAAGAAAGUCUCCGUUAGAGACAGACACGCUCCCAGGCACCCACCCUCUUGCACUGUUCAAAGUCUGCAAUAAGGCGACUGUCGUCAAGGCAGAGCGGAUGGUUUUCGAGAUUCCCGAGUUCAAGGUGUGAUGGCACGAGUUAUUACAAGAAAUCCGCCAAUCAAGGCCUGCACAGAUGAAGAUGGGGCUCAUUGGUGUUCACUAAAACUCAGUGACGCUGGCCUGGUUAUCAGCCAGCUUUUGAUAGAUCGCGCUGAGGUAACCACGCCGACAACUCAGUGAUUCACGGAGGAAAGGAAAGCAUUCCCUGUGUGGCUUGGAAGACAAGCAGGCUUCUGAUCCACAGCUCGAGGAUUGAUCAUCCUGCCUCAGAGAAACCAGGUCAGAAUGGCUGGCCCAGUGUCUUUGGCUCGGUCUGCUUGGGACGAUCCCGCUGCCUGGAUUUGUGAAUGAUGUAGUUAAUCCGAAAUCUUCCUCUCUUCCCAGCCAGACCUUCCUCUCCUUCCUCAAGUCACCACUCUUAUGAAGACUUCUUAGACUAUAGCAGCUUACAAGGAUCUCUCUCUCAUCUAAAUUUCCCUGGCCUCCGAGUUAGUACCGUGCCUGUACGCCUCGUUUCCUGAAAGCCGGCCUUGCCUUCACAGCUCAGCUAUAAUGAUCUCAGUGGCAGGAAUCUGAUCUCAUAUUUUAUAUAUUUUCCCCGUAAAACCCAGCAGAGUGCUGGGUAAAUAAAAUAGGAAGUCUCAGUAAAUACUUGGAGGGGUUGAAAAUUCAAACCGUAUACUAUGCGUCUUAGAUGAGGUGCUUAGAGUAGUCAGAUU